AUUGAACGCUGGCGGCAGGCCUAACACAUGCGGGAAGUCGAACGGUAACAGGAAGAAGCUUGCUUCUUUGCUGACGAGUGGCGGACGGGUGAGUAAUGUCUGGGAAACUGCCUGAUGGAGGGGGAUAACUACUGGAAACGGUAGCUAAUACCGCAUAACGUCGCAAGACCAAAAAAGGGGGACCUUCGGGCCUCUUGCCAUCGGAUGUGCCCAGAUGGGAUUAGCUAGUAGGUGGGGUAACGGCUCACCUAGGCGACGAUCCCUAGCUGGUCUGAGAGGAUGACCAGCCACACUGGAACUGAGACACGGUCCAGACUCCUACGGGAGGCAGCAGUGGGGAAUAUUGCACAAUGGGCGCAAGCCUGAUGCAGCCAUGCCGCGUGUAUGAAGAAGGCC
rnacentral:rRNA from 1 species